UCUCCUGGAAACGGGUGGUAAUGCCGGAUGCUCCAUCAUACCGCAUGGUGUGUUGGGAAAGCCUUUGCGGCAUGGGAUGGGGUCGCGUCCUAUCAGCUUGAUGGCGGGGUAACGGCCCACCAUGGCUUCGACGGGUAGCCGGCCUGAGAGGGCGACCGGCCACAUUGGGACUGAGAUACGGCCCAGACUCCUACGGGAGGCAGCAGUGGGGAAUAUUGCACAAUGGGCGCAAGCCUGAUGCAGCGACGCCGCGUGAGGGAUGGAGGCCUUCGGGUUGUAAACCUCUUUUGUUAGGGAGCAAGGCAUUUUGUGUUGAGUGUACCUUUCGAAUAAGCACCGGCUAACUACGUGCCAGCAGCCGCGGUAAUACGUAGGGUGCAAGCGUUAUCCGGAAUUAUUGGGCGUAAAGGGCUCGUAGGCGGUUCGUCGCGUCCGGUGUGAAAGUCCAUCGCUUAACGGUGGAUCCGCGCCGGGUACGGGCGGGCUUGAGUGCGGUAGGGGAGACUGGAAUUCCCGGUGUAACGGUGGAAUGUGUAGAUAUCGGGAAAGAACACCA
rnacentral:rRNA from 1 species